rnacentral:rRNA from 1 species
CCAAAGGUUCCCUCAGAAUGGUUGGAAAUCAUUCGCAGAGUGUAAAGGCACAAGGGAGCUUGACUGCGAGACCUACAAGUCGAGCAGGGACGAAAGUCGGGCUUAGUGAUCCGGUGGUUCCGCAUGGAAGGGCCAUCGCUCAACGGAUAAAAGCUACCCCGGGGAUAACAGGCUUAUCUCCCCCAAGAGUCCACAUCGACGGGGAGGUUUGGCACCUCGAUGUCGGCUCAUCGCAUCCUGGGGCUGUAGUCGGUCCCAAGGGUUGGGCUGUUCGCCCAUUAAAGCGGUACGCGAGCUGGGUUCAGAACGUCGUGAGACAGUUCGGUCCCUAUCCGUCGCGGGCGCAGGAAAUUUGAGAGGAGCUGUCCUUAGUACGAGAGGACCGGGAUGGACGCACCGCUGGUGUACCAGUUGUUCUGCCAAGGGCAUCGCUGGGUAGCUAUGUGCGGACGGGAUAAGUGCUGAAAGCAUCUAAGCAUGAAGCCCCCCUCAAGAUGAGAUUUCCCAUUCCGCAAGGAAGUAAGAUCCCUGAAAGAUGAUCAGGUUGAUAGGUCUGAGGUGGAAGUGUGGCGACACAUGGAGCUGACAGAUACUAAUCGAUCGAGGACUUAACCAAUUU